UACGGAGGGGACUAGCGUUGUUCGGAAUUACUGGGCGUAAAGCGCACGUAGGCGGAUUUGUAAGUUAGAGGUGAAAGCCCGGGGCUCAACUCCGGAAUUGCCUUUAAGACUGCAUCGCUAGAAUUGUGGAGAGGUAAGUGGAAUUCCGAGUGUAGAGGUGAAAUUCGUAGAUAUUCGGAGGAACACCAGUGGCGAAGGCGGCUCACUGGUCCGGUACUGACGCUGAGGUGCGAAAGCGUGGGGAGCAAACAGGG
rnacentral:rRNA from 1 species